rnacentral:rRNA from 1 species
GCAUUUGCUGUACCGCGUUGACGGAGCGAAGCGACGUCAAACCGAUAAAACAGCAGUGUAAAGUGAGCCGCAGGGCGCUUUGCGCGACAGCGCAAAGGCAGGCGGUUUCGCGUAGCGAAAGCGAAUGCUUUGGGGUGGGGUGACUGCGUACCUUUUGUAUAAUGGGUCAGCGACUUAUAUUCUGUAGCAAGGUUAACCGAAUAGGGGAGCCGGAGGGAAACCGAGUCUUAAUUGGGCGUUAAGUUGCAGGGUAUAGACCCGAAACCCGGUGAUCUAGCCAUGGGCAGGUUGAAGGUUGGGUAACACUAACUGGAGGACCGAACCGACUAAUGUUGAAAAAUUAGCGGAUGACCUGUGGCUGGGGGUGAAAGGCCAAUCAAACCGGGAGAUAGCUGGUUCUCCCCGAAAGCUAUUUAGGUAGCGCCUCGUGAAUUCAUCUCCGGGGGUAGAGCACUGUUUCGGCUAGGGGGCCAUCCCGGCUUACCAACCCGAUGCAAACUGCGAAUACCGGAGAAUGUUAUCACGGGAGACACACGGCGGGUGCUAACGUCCGUCGUGAAGAGGGAAACAACCCAGACCGCCAGCUAAGGUCCCAAAGUCAUGGUUAAGUGGGAAACGAUGUGGGAAGGCCCAGACAGCCAGGAUGUUGGCUUAGAAGCAGCCAUCAUUUAAAGAAAGCGUAAUAGCUCACUGGUCGAGUCGGCCUGCGCGGAAGAUGUAACGGGGCUAAACCAUG